UACGAAGGGGGCUAGCGUUGCUCGGAAUUACUGGGCGUAAAGCGCACGUAGGCGGAUUGUUAAGUCGGGGGUGAAAUCCUGGAGCUCAACUCCAGAACUGCCUUCGAUACUGGCGAUCUCGAGUCCGGGAGAGGUGAGUGGAACUGCGAGUGUAGAGGUGAAAUUCGUAGAUAUUCGCAAGAACACCAGUGGCGAAGGCGGCGACCUGGUCCUUGACUGACGCUGAGGCGCGAAAGCGUGGGGAGCAAACAGG
rnacentral:rRNA from 1 species